GAGGGAUUGAAUUAACUAAAGAUUUGGCCUACUUGCAUGUCUGUAUAUGGGAGUAUAAGAGGGUGGGGUUGCACUAUGACUUCAUGUAGAUUCUGUAUUGUGGGUGAAAAGGAAACUUCAUUCACUGUGAUGCCAAUGUCUUUAGGCCUAGAUGGAAUUUGUGUAAUGCAUCUAGAAUAGUGUUUUGCUCAGAAUUACAAUAGGCAAUAUUGUUUCCCACAAUUAUGCACACCAUCUAUGCAUGAAUGACACUUUGGCAGAAUAUUCUUGUUUUUCCCUAUUUAAACUGUUCUAUACUCUUAGAAGUAAAGGUGCCUGGAAGAACCUUUAGGGUUGCCACACCUACAGAACCUUUCCAGUUGAAAAAGGUUUUCUUGAGGAACCCCUCUGAAAAGUUCAUUCGAGGAACCCUUGUGUAAAGGUUUGAAAAUUAAUAUUUUUGUGAUGGGAGGUAUUCAAUGUUGAGCCUUUUUGAUAAUAUAUUGUAGAGGUACCUGUCUAUCAGAUUGGAGCCGUGGCUUUCAGUCUAAUACACACCAGCCAGGUUGUAGUUGGUCUAGUCUAGUACAAACCAGUCAGGUUGUAGUUGGUCUAGUCUAGUACAAACCAGUCAGGUUGUAGUUGGUCUAGUCUAGUACAAACCAGUCAGGUUGUAGUUGGUCUAGUCUAGUACAAACCAGUCAGGUUGUAGUUGGUCUAGUCUAGUACAAACCAGUCAGGUUGUAGUUGGUCUAGUCUAGUACAAACCAGUCAGGUUGUAGUUGGUCUAAUACAAACCAGCCAGGUUGUAGUUGGUCUAGUCUAGUACAAACCAGCCAGGUUGUAGUUGGUCUAGUCUAGUACAAACCAGCCAGGUUGUAGUUGGUCUAGUCUAAUACAAACCAGCCAGGUUGUAGUUGGUCUAGUCUAAUACAAACCAGCCAGGUUGUAGUUGGUCUAGUCUAAUACAAACCAGCCAGGUUGUAGUCGGUCUAAUACAAACCAGCCAGGUUGUAGUCGGUCUAAUACAAACCAGCCAGGUUGUAGUCGGUCUAAUACAAACCAGCCAGGUUGUAGUCGGUCUAAUACAAACCAGCCAGGUUGUAGUCGGUCUAAUACAAACCAGCCAGGUUGUAGUCGGUCUGGUCUAAUACAAACCAGCCAGGUUGUAGUCGGUCUGGUCUAAUACAAACCAGCCAGGUUGUAGUCGGUCUGGUCUAAUACAAACCAGCCAGGUUGUAGUCGGUCUGGUCUAAUACAAACCAGCCAGGUUGUAGUCGGACUGGUCUAAUACAAACCAGCCAGGUUGUAGUUGGUCUAAUACAAACCAGCCAGGUUGUAGUUGGACUAGUCUAAUACAAACCAGCCAGGUUGUAGUCGGUCUAGUCUAAUACAAACCAGCCAGGUUGUAGUCGGUCUGGUCUAAUACAAACCAGCCAGGUUGUAGUUGGUCUAAUCAAACCAGCCAGGUUGUAGUUGGUCUAAUACAAACCAGCCAGGUUGUAGUCGGUCUAGUCUAAUACAAACCAGCCAGGUUGUAGUCGGUCUAGUCUAAUACAAACCAGCCAGGUUGUAGUUGGUCUAAUACAAACCAGCCAGGUUGUAGUCGGUCUAGUCUAAUACAAACCAGCCAGGUUGUAGUCGGUCUAGUCUAAUACAAACCAGCCAGGUUGUAGUUGGUCUAAUACAAACCAGCCAGGUUGUAGUUGGUCUAGUACAAACCAGCCAGGUUAUAGCUGGUCUAGUACAAACCAGCCAGGUUAUAGCUGGUCUAGUACAAACCAGCCAGGUUAUAGCUGGUCUAGUACAAACCAGCCAGGUUAUAGCUGGUCUAGUACAAACCAGCCAGGUUAUAGCUGGUCUAGUACAAACCAGCCAGGUUAUAGCUGGUCUAGUACAAACCAGCCAGGUUAUAGCUGGUCUAGUACAAACCAGCCAGGUUGUAGCUGGUCUAGUACAAACCAGCCAGGUUGUAGCUGGUCUAGUACAAACCAGCCAGGUUGUAGUUGGUCUAGUACAAACCAGCCAGGUUGUAGUUGGUCUAAUACAAACCAGCCAGGUUGUAGUUGGUCUAAUACAAACCAGCCAGGUUGUAGUUGGUCUAAUACAAACCAGCCAGGUUGUAGUCGGUCUGGUCUAAUACAAACCAGCCAGGUUGUAGUCGGUCUGGUCUAAUACAAACCAGCCAGGUUGUAGUCGGUCUGGUCUAAUACAAACCAGCCAGGUUGUAGUCGGUCUAGUCUAGUACAAACCAGCCAGGUUGUAGUUGGUCUAGUCUAAUACAAACCAGCCAGGUUGUCAUCGUUUCUUAAUCCCUGAAAACACACA